rnacentral:rRNA from 1 species
AUUGAACGCUGGCGGCAGGCUUAACACAUGCAAGUCGAGCGGGGUGAUGGUGCUUGCACUAUCACUUAGCGGCGGACGGGUGAGUAAUGCUUAGGAAUCUGCCUAUUAGUGGGGGACAACAUCUCGAAAGGGAUGCUAAUACCGCAUACGUCCUACGGGAGAAAGCAGGGGAUCACUUGUGACCUUGCGCUAAUAGAUGAGCCUAAGUCGGAUUAGCUAGUUGGUGGGGUAAAGGCCUACCAAGGCGACGAGCUGUAGCGGGUCUGAGAGGAUGAGCCGCCGCACAGGGACGGAGACAAGGCCCAGACUCCUACGGGGGGCAGCAGUGGGGAAUAUUGGACAAUGGGGGGAACCCUGAUCCAGCCAUGCCGGGUGUGUGAAGAAGGCCUGAUGGUUGGAAAGCACUUUAAGCGAGGAGGAGGCUCUUUUGGUUAAUACCCAAGAUGAGUGGACGUUACUCGCAGAAUAAGGACCGGCUAACUCUGUGCCAGCCGCCGCCGUAUAC